UACGGGGGGGGCAAGCGUUGUUCGGAAUUACUGGGCGUAAAGGGCUUGUAGGUGGCCAACUAAGUCAGACGUGAAAUCCCCCGGCUUAACCGGGGAACUGCGUCUGAUACUGGAUGGCUGGAGUGUGGGAGAGGGAUGCGGAAUUCCAGGUGUAGCGGUGAAAUGCGUAGAUAUCGAGAGGAACACCUGCGGCGAAGGCGGGUUGCUGGGCCGACACUGACGCUGAUGCGCGAAAGCCAGGGGAGCGAACGGG
rnacentral:rRNA from 1 species